UUCGAAUGUUGGUGUGUCUCCUACAUUGA
rnacentral:sRNA from 1 species